CUUUGUAAGGCAGAUGGCGGUCCUCUCUGUGUUUAUUCAUUUUUCAUUGAUCUCCACUCCACUAUCACCAGCAGAAUUAACUGCAGGCAACCCAAGAGAAUUCGUUUUUUAAUUUCUUAAAUAUUUUAUAUAUGAGAAUCGACACAGAGACAAAAUAAACUGCGUUCUUUGGAUGGAGAUGAAAAGGAAGGAAAAAGUUACUGCGGAGCUAUUAGAUAAACUCAACCUUCACUGCAAUAUUUUUGGGCAAACCCCAUGGGAAUCUGGAAUCUUUGUUCAUCUCUAAAGAAGCACAAACAGUACAAUAAAGGUCACAUUUGGUUGCCUUUUUCAGGCACAGUCCAGACACUGCCACAUCUGUGAUGUCUCAGGAGCCUCGCAGGUCCAAUAGGAGUCACCCCCGCCCUCUCCAUUACUGUUUUUCCAUUUCACUAAUUGGGUUUUUGUUUAUGGGUACUGUGAUCACCGGUGAUAGUAUGAUCAGUGCUGUUAACUCCCUGAAGUCUAAUCGGGGGAAACUUGUCUAUUUAUGUGCUGUGUGUUUCACUCACAGUAAUCAAAUUAACUCUCAAACUUUUUUUUAAUCUUAAACAUGCUAUCAUCUGCUAAUUUUACAACAGCGUAUACAUGUUUAUUAUACUGAUGCAAUAUUAAAGUCACUUGAUACAUUUCACUUCAAGAAAUGCAACCAUCCUGGGUCAAUAGGGGGUUCGGAGGGUCAACAAGUCAUGGGUUAGGGUUACAGUCUUUAGUAUGGCCUUUUUAACGCUUCACUAAUCAAUAUUUACUAUGGAUCAAAUGACUAAAGAGGUUGGCUGCUAAUGGUGAUAAACCCAGUCCCCUUUUCAGGCAGCCCUUUAGAUGAAAAAACCACAGAAAAUCUUGCCCAAACAAGAGUAUAGAAAGAUAAAAAUAACAACCGCCUGGUGAAACAUCUUGAUGCUAAGGAAUUAGCAGUUCGUCCAAAUGAAAAAUCCUGUAGACUAUACGGACAAAUGUAUUGGGCUACAAUUCUUAUUGUUUGAAUUCAGGUGUUUAUAGUCCCUUUGU